UACGAAGGGGGCUAGCGUUGCUCGGAAUUACUGGGCGUAAAGCGCACGUAGGCGGUCUUUUAAGUCGGGGGUGAAAUCCUGGAGCUCAACUCCAGAACUGCCUUCGAUACUGGAAGACUUGAGUCCGGGAGAGGUGAGUGGAACUGCGAGUGUAGAGGUGGAAUUCGUAGAUAUUAGGAAGAACACCAGUGGCGAAGGCGGCUCACUGGUCCGGUACUGACGCUGAGGUGCGAAAGCGUGGGGAGCAAACAGG
rnacentral:rRNA from 1 species